rnacentral:rRNA from 1 species
GGUGAACGCUGGCGGCGUGCUUAAGACAUGCAAGUCGAACGGCAGUCUUCAGACUGUAGUGGCGCACGGGUGAGUAACGCGUAACUGACCUACCCCAAAGUCGCGGAUAACGAUUCGAAAGAAUCGCUAAUACGUGAUGUGCUGUCAGACUGUGUUCUGCCAGUAAAGAAUGAUUGCUUUGGGAUGGGGGUGCGUUCCAUCGGCUAGUUGGUGGGGUAAAGGCCCACCAAGGCGGCGACGGAUAGCCGGCCUGAGGGGGUGGCCGGCCACAGGGGCACUGAGACACAGGAGCCACUCCUACGGGGGGCGUCAGGUAGGGAGCGUACCCAGUUGGCGGAAGCGUGAUGGAGCGACGCCACGUGGUGGAUGAAGGUCUUCGGAUCGUAAACCUCUGAAUCAGGGACGAAAGACACUUCGGUGGGAGGACGUUACCUGAGUAAUAGCACCGGCUAACUCCGUGCCAGCCGCCGCCGUAAAAC